rnacentral:other from 1 species
UGUUACCUGCGGUGAUUGUAAUUUAGGCAUCAGUCUCUUGACCUUAAAUAACGUUGCUCGGGGGCAAAACGUUGGGUGGUGUGCAAGCCAUGUAUUUUGGAAGCCUAAGCCCAGUCAUUAUCUGCCUUCCACUUGAACAUACUCGUUCAAGAGCAUAGUGGCCAUGUACGUCUCUCGCGGGGCAACC